AAUGAACUUUCUUCUUGAAGCGGGAAUUCUCAGCCAUCGUCUCCAACCUGGGUGUGACCAUCUCAGUCAGGCUGGUCCAUGUGGAGCCCGCGUCCACGAGGCCGGCCUCCUCUACUAUUGUCUGUUAAUCCGAGAGGAAAAAAAGUUGCAGCCCUCCGGGGUCGGAAUGGCAGAACAAAAGGGGGGAAAAAUAUCAGAGGAAGAAGAAAGAUGGCUCCGAGUGUUUAAUCCAUGAGCAAGUUCGCCGGUUCGACUUCUGGAGACCGCACGUCGGGAUCGGCGGCGAAUUCGGUUCUUUGACACAAGUUGUAAGCUCCGGAUUACAGCCCGCAUCCUUCCACUUCCCACUGUACUGGGGAUGGUUUUUUUUUUCCUCCUAGUGCCGGUUUCCAUGGCGAUGCAUCAGUCACUAGUCUAAAUAAGUACGGGUGAAGGACGCCUGGAAAACCAGUGCAAUUACGCAUGCCAUUAGUGGGGAGAGGAAAAUGAUUCAACCCCGCGAUGAGCACGGGGCCGAGGUUCCGAGCCCUGCGUUCGGUGGGGUGAGCGGCCGGGCGGUGAGGUCCAUGUUGGACGCACCACGCUGCAGAGCCAAGGCCAGAGGGAGUGACGGCAUCUCAGCGAAGCUGCCAGGAGCUGACUCUGUGGCCUCGGACCCCUCACCUCUCUGAGCUGCAGGCUUGCCGUUGGUCCCCAUGGGUGGUGAUUCUCUGUGAACGAACGUGCCGAGAUCCCGAGAGGCAGGCUGUGCGGCCAGGCGACUGCCCGGAGCCAGGUCCCCGCUCUGCCCCGACCAGCUGUGUGGCCCAGGUCCAGCCUCUGAUUUGUCAGAUGAGGAUAAUCACCAAGUAUCUUAAGUUAAUUUUCAAUUACUCCAACCAGUGACUUAACGAAGUGAAUAAUUAAUAUGUAAGUUAUUCCAACAGGAUGUUAGUUGUUACAAGGUUGUUAAUCCUUUUAUUUCAUGCUCAUGUGAAGAGCGCAAAACUCUACCUGCAGGCUGCUGUGGCUCAAGGCUGCCUGCUUCGAGGUAUGACUCAUCCUUUGAGUCCUAUUCACCCACCCGUGUCGGAAUAAAUGCCCCACAGAGACUGAGAGACAGGACAUUGGCCCAGAGAGGCCAAGGGAAUGACCUAAAGGCACACAGCCGGGUAAAGGCGGGCCUGGGCCUGGCACCGGGCCUCUGGACCCAGCCCCAUGCCCAUCCAGGGUCCCCAGAUCCCGCCUUGCUCUUUGGUGAACUGUGGGGAUGAAGAAACGCGGGCUUCAUGGCUACGCAGGGAAACGUGAGGCUCUGACUGGGUUCCCUAAUCGGAUUGGAGCGGUUCCUAAUCCUGCUCCCUGCGGCCCAGAGCCCCCCCACCCCCCAACGCACCCUGACUGGGC